UAGCGAUAUACGUGCGUUUCGGUUGCUGC
rnacentral:sRNA from 1 species